rnacentral:lncRNA from 1 species
CACUAGUAUUAUAAAUUGACAAUAAUUUUAUAAAUUAUUUGUUGUAUUGUUGUCAAAUUUUUUUAAAUAUGUAUUGUGUUAAGAGUUUGAAUGUCGCACGUGAUUUUUUACUUCUUUAUAUGUACAUAUAUUCACAUAAAUAUUGUCAAUAAUUUUAUAAAUUAUCCUGAAAGACGAUAAAAAGUUAUGAAUCCACCCUUGACCACCUAGAUGACUGACUAUUCUUAAUUUCUCUCCUCAUCUUGUAAAUUAAAAUAAUAAUAAGAAGAAGAAGAAACAAAGGAAAGGAGAGAAAGAUGAUGGAGAUAUUGAUGAAUGGUGAUAAUGGUGAUGACUGGAUCGGCUCAAUUAAAGACACACAAAAGAGUCAGCUGCUGAAUUUGAAUUAUGUGAUAUAUCUAUGAAUGGUGUGUGUGUGGUGGUGGGCAUGUUCUUAUUCUCUCCUCCUGAGUCUUGUCAUUUUCAACCUUUACAAAUUGAGGCGACCCUCAUCGCAGAUAUACAUACAUACAUAUAUAUAUAUAUUCCUCACUCGCUCGCUCACUCAGUCGCUUUGAUUAUGUGAACUCAAUUUAUUGACUCAGAAUCCACCAACUCUGUUUUGUUUUGUAAUUAAUGGUUUGUUUAUUAGGGCAACAGAUUAAGAUCUUUUUACCCAUCUUAACUUAAAAUAUAUUUGAAUUAUACACAGUUAUUUAUAUAAAUUUCACAUAAGAUUUUUCAAAAUUAAGCAAAAUUACAAUAAAUAAAGAAUUACUUUUUAAAUAAACUGUUCAGUAGAUUCUAAUUUUUACUUAAUACAAAUUAAUGUUUAUCCUCGUAUCAAGUUUUUAAUACUUUAUUUAGUUGUCUACAUUUUUUUAGGAAUAUAGACCAUACGAGGAAAAAUUGUACUACAUGAAAGAAAAAGAAUUGAUGCUUAUAAU